UCCGGUUCAUCCACAUAGCUGGAAACUCACAUCGACCAAUUUUAUCAACUGUGAGAAUCCCCCAUAUCCAAGAAUCAAUUCAUUUCUAAAAUUCACUAAUACAUGAAAAAUCCCGCUGUUUCUCCCAAAUUUCUGAUUUCAUGCUCAUGCUGAUUCUGGUAAAACCCCAUCCCUCUUCCUCAAAACCCUAAAACACUCCAAGACUCUUCCAAAUUAUUUUAUCUCCUGUAGGUUAUCCACCAUGGCUUCGAGAGACCAAGCGCUUUCUCUCCUCGCCGCGGCGAACACUCAUAGCGAUUUGGCGGUGAAGCUCUCUUCCUUGAAGCAGGCUAAAGACAUUCUUUUGUCUGUCGAACCGUCUUCAGCUGCCGAGCUUUUCCCGUACUUGGCUGAACUUCAAUUUUCGCCUGAGAGUCUCGUUCGAAAAAUGCUUGUAGAGAUCAUUGAAGAAGUUGGUUUAAAAGCAAUGGAGCACUGUUCUGUUCUUAUACCGGUCUUAUUGGCAUUUAUGAAAGACCCCGAUCCUCUCAUUGCAAGGCAGUCUGUUGUUAGUUUAACGCGUUUCUUUUGUGGUGUUCUUGAGGAAAUGGCACUGCAGUUUCGCCGGCGUGGUAAGGUGGAGCAAUGUCUUGAAGAAUUAUGGCUAUGGAUGAUCAAGUUCAAGGAUGCAGCAUUUGCAAUUGCAAUGGAGCCUGGUUCUGUUGGGACGAGGUUGCUUUCCUUGAAAUUUUUGGAAACAUGUGUGUUACUUUUUACAGAUGACACCAAUGAUUCCGACAAGGUUGUUGCAGAAGGAAAUAGACGGUUAUUUAAUGUUUCUUGGCUAGUUGGUGGCCAUCCUGUUUUGGAUCCAGGUGCACUCAUGUCAGAUGCAGACAGGACUCUUGGCAUUCUACUGGAUUUUUUGGUGUCACCCAGCCAUCUUCCUGGUUCUCUGACAAUUGCUGUAGUCAAUUGUCUUGCAGCUAUAGCAAGGAAAAGGACACUCCACUAUGGCACUGUUCUUUCUGCAUUGCUUGAUUUUAGUCCAAAUUUUGAGGCGUUGAAAGUAUGUCAUACUGCCAGCAUCCAGUACUCCUUGAGAACAGCCUUCUUGGGAUUCCUGCGUUGUACGCAUCCAGUCAUUUUUGAGUCAAGAGAUAAAUUGCUUAGGGCUUUACGUGCUAUGAAUGCUGGAGAUGCAGCUGAUCAAGUUAUUCGUCAAGUUGACAAAAUGAUUAAAAAUAAUGAGCGUGCUUCACGUGAAUCCAGGUUUAGCAGGGAUGAUCAACUGUCAAACCAACUUCCAGUUUCAGGGGAUCAGUUGAGAAAAAGAUCUGUGUCUUUUGAUACUGAAGAGCUGGCAAAUGGCCAUGAGAUAUCAUCCAAGCGAAUUCGUUAUGGUCCUAAUAUCUCAUCAACCAUGCCCCUCCAAAUAAAUGAUUCUGAGGAGGAAGCUUUAUCAGCCAAUGGACUAUCCUCAAAUGCUCCUUUAUUAGAUAGUGAUUUGACUCCUGCAGAACAAAUGAUUGCUAUGAUUGGGGCAUUGCUUGCUGAAGGAGAGAGAGGCGCUGAAUCACUUGGAAUUCUCAUUUCAAAUAUUCAUCCUGACCUGCUGGCUGAUAUUGUCAUCACUAAUAUGAAGCAUUUGCCUAAGAACCCCCCACCUUUGUCAAGACCUGGAAAUUUUCCAGUAGUUCGUCAAAUUGGUUCUAUAAGCAGUCCAGCACCAGUUGUAGCCCCUUCUGCUCCAACAAAUUCUUUUUCUGCAAUUCCAACUGCACAUAUACCUCCUUCUGCAAUAAAUGGCUUGUCAUUGUCUGAUACAUCCACAGUCAAUAAUUUCCCUGCUGAUGCUAAACGUGAUCCAAGAAGGGAUCCUCGUCGCCUGGAUCCACGACGCACAGCGUCAUCUGUUGGAGUACCAUCCAUACCUGUUGCAGAUGAUGCUGGUGCCAUGGAACCCGAACUUGAUGGCUCUAUUUCUCUAAGUAAGCCUUUUCCACUUCCAGUUGUGUCAUCUGUUGAAAGUCCUUCUCCACUUCCUAUGCCAAAUAGUGAAACUGAUGAUAAGACCUUAGAAAAUCCACUGGUGCCUGAAAGUGAUCAAGUAAGUUUGAAAGAGGAGAUUUUCAGUAAAGCUGAGGAAGUUAUUCCCUCUUCUGAAAUCAAGACUUCAUCAGAUCAUGCACUUCCUCCGCUUCACACUGUUGAUGAGGACUCUGUUGCACCAAAUUUGGCAGAUGUUGAAGUGAUAUAUGGAGCUCAUACAUCAUCUUUUAUGGAACUUGAUCAGCAUUCUCCUGCUGUUUCCAGCACAUCUACACCUGAAGAAACCUGUCAGGAUUUACCUCAGCUUCCACUAUACAUUGAAUUAACUGAAGAGCAGCAGCAAAAUGUGAGAAAAUUGGCGGUUGAAAGAAUUGUUUUAUCUUACAAGCAUCUUCCUGGGACUGAUUACAGUCAGACUCGUAUGGCAUUACUUGCUCGAUUGGUUGCUCAGAUUGAUGCAGAUGAUGACAUUGUUGUGAUGCUACAAAACCAUAUUGUUGUCGAUUACCAGCUGCAGAAGGGGCAUGAGCUUGUGCUGUAUGUCUUAUACCAUCUACAUUCUCUCAUGGUUCUUGAUUCAGCAGGAAUUUCCUCAUAUGCUUCUGCUGUGUAUGAGAAAUUCCUCUUGCUAGUGGCCAAAUCUCUGCUGGAUACUUUUCCAGCUUCAGACAAGUCCUUUAGCAGGCUUCUUGGUGAAGUUCCAGUUUUGCCAGAGUCAGCCUUGAAAUUGUUAGAUGAUCUCUGCUAUGGCGAUGUUUUAGAUUCCCGUGGAAAAGAGGUUCGUGAUGGUGAGCGUGUCACUCAAGGCCUUGGUGCUGUUUGGGGUUUGAUUUUGGGCCGCCCAAAUAAUCGGCAAGCAUGCUUGGAUAUAGCUUUGAAGUGUGCUGUUCAUUCACAAGAUGAGAUUCGAGCAAAAGCUAUUCGUCUGGUGGCAAAUAAACUCUAUCAACUAGGCUACAUAGCAGAUAGUAUUGAGCAGUUUGCGACAAAAAUGAUGAUGUCAGCUGUGGAUCACCAUGCUGCAGAUGGAGAGGUAUCACAGUCAGGGUCCAGUGACCAAAGAGAAGGAGAGGUUGGCAGCCAGGAGACAUCAGUCAGUGGCUCUCAAGUCUCAGAUACCGGAAAUGGUGAAACUAACACCACAAAGAGUGCACAAUUGGUUGUCCAGAGUGUGUCAACCAUGUCACUAUCUGAAGCUCAACGGCUAAUUUCUUUAUUUUUUGCUUUGUGUACACAGAAACAUGCUCUUCUUCAACUUGUAUUUGACAUUUAUGGACGAGCGCCAAAAACUGUGAAGCAGUGGCUAUCCCAUUUAUAUUUCUGCAAGAAAUUCUGCUAUGCGAUAAUCAAGUUAGAUUGCUUUUUGAGUUUAUUCAAACAAUAUGCCAAGACAAACCACUACAACGACACACCACAUUCUUGGUCUGCCAUUCGUGAGGCUGUUCAUCGCAAUAUACCUAUUCUUAUAAGGGCCAUGGGGUCAUCUUAUUCUGAACUGCUCCGCAUUAUAUCUGAUCCCCCAGAGGGAUGUGAAAAUCUUCUGAUGCUGGUGCUGCAAAAAUUGACCCAAGAGAUGAUGCCUUCUGCUGAUCUGAUUGCCACUGUGAAACAUUUAUAUGAAACUAAGUUGAAGGACGCUACUAUACUAAUUCCAAUAUUAUCUUCACUCUCUAAGGAUGAGGUUUUACCUAUUUUCCCCCGUUUAGUUGGUCUUCCAAUAGAGAAGUUCCAGAUGGCACUUGCUCAUAUUUUACAGGGUUCAGCUCAUACAGGUCCAGCUUUAACACCCGCAGAAGUGUUGGUUGCCAUCCAUGAUAUCAGUCCUGAGAAAGAUGGCCUAGCCCUCAAAAAGAUAACAGAUGCAUGCUCAGCUUGUUUUGAGCAGCGCACAGUAUUUACACAGCAAGUUUUGGCUAAGGCCCUGAAUCAGAUGGUUGAUCAAACCCCAUUGCCUCUACUUUUCAUGAGAACAGUAAUUCAGGCAAUUGAUGCAUUUCCUUCCCUGGUUGAUUUUGUUAUGGAGUUACUGUCCAAACUUGUAAGUAGACAGGUAUGGAAAAUGCCAAAAUUGUGGGUUGGGUUCUUGAAAUGUGUGUCUCAAACAAGGCCGCAUUCUUUCAAUGUGUUGUUACAGUUACCACCUCCAUUACUUGAAAGUGCUCUGAACAAACAUGCUAAUCUCAGAAGCCCCUUGGCUACUUACGCAAGUCAACCAAGUAUCAAAACUUCACUACCUAGAUCUACGCAAGCAGUUCUUGGUCUUCUCAACGAUUCACAAUCACAGCAACCACAUAUUACCUCUUUACGCUCAUCAGACACAAGUUCCUCUGUUCAGGGAGCCAAUCUUACAUGAUAAACUACUGACAAACAGGAAUUGACCAUUUGUAUAGCAAGGCACUUUGAAGACCAUUCCAGAUGAUGGUUUCUUAUCCAGUGGUUCAGUUGCCAGAAGGGGGUAUACAAGCUGACUACACUGGUGGUGUAAUUGGAAUUUGACUUCCGAUGAAGCGGCUAACUGAUAUCUGAUAUGCAAUGAGUUCAAGUCGCCUCAGCAGGUGAAGCUGCAUUUUUGGAAAGAAACUGCCUACGGAGAAUCCCAACAUCAGAAGAUCCCAACACUCCCCCUUCCCUGGAUGCUCUACAAAUGUACCAUAAUUGGUGAAACUUUGGCUGGUUGGCAUGUCGGGAACCACAUAAGUUAAAGCCAACAAGUCUUAUUUCGCUCAGGUAUAGGGGAUUAAAAAGUGCGGUUCCCUGCGUAGGCGAGGAAACCAUGUAAUUUGAAGGAAAAGGGAAGGUGUAGCUGCUGUUUGUCUCAUAUCGUCGAAAGGACUUCGUGUAACGACUCUUCCGGGAUGUCGACUAUCGUAGCUAAACAUGAUAAUUUCCAUCGCUA